rfam:Asian citrus Psyllid, Diaphorina citri - Florida Strain, whole genome shotgun sequence.
GCCUAGUUAGCUCGGAGGGUAGUGCGUCUGCCUUGUAAGCGCUAGGUCGCGGGUUCGAUUCCCACCCGGGGCG